rnacentral:rRNA from 1 species
GACGAACGCUGGCGGCGUGCCUAAUACAUGCAAGUAGAACGCUGAAGGAGGAGCUUGCUUCUCUGGAUGAGUUGCGAACGGGUGAGUAACGCGUAGGUAACCUGCCUGGUAGCGGGGGAUAACUAUUGGAAACGAUAGCUAAUACCGCAUAAUAGCAGUUAUUGCAUGAUAACUGUUUGAAAGGUGCAAUUGCACCACUACCAGAUGGACCUGCGUUGUAUUAGCUAGUUGGUGGGGUAACGGCUCACCAAGGCGACGAUACAUAGCCGACCUGAGAGGGUGAUCGGCCACACUGGGACUGAGACACGGCCCAGACUCCUACGGGAGGCAGCAGUAGGGAAUCUUCGGCAAUGGACGGAAGUCUGACCGAGCAACGCCGCGUGAGUGAAGAAGGUUUUCGGAUCGUAAAGCUCUGUUGUAAGAGAAGAACGAGUGUGAGAGUGGAAAGUUCACACUGUGACGGUAUCUUACCAGAAAGGGACGGCUAACUACGU